UACGAAGGGUGCAAGCGUUACUCGGAAUUACUGGGCGUAAAGGGUGCGUAGGUGGUCGGGUAAGUCUGAGGUGAAAUCUCCGAGCUUAACUCGGAAACUGCCUUGGAUACUAUUCGGCUCGAGGGUUGGAGGGGGGACUGGAAUUCUCGGUGUAGCAGUGAAAUGCGUAGAUAUCGAGAGGAACACCAGUGGCGAAGGCGAGUCCCUGGACAACUCCUGACGCUGAGGCACGAAAGCUAGGGGAGCAAACAGG
rnacentral:rRNA from 1 species